ACGGGAUCUGGCUGCCAGCAGCAUUGAACGGAUGCUGGCGUACGCCAUCAAGUCGCCCAACCUGACCCUGGAUUCCAUCGAAGACGCCCUCCCUCGGGAGGAGUCCCCGCUCUGCCCCCCAAAGAGAGAAGAGGAGCUCCAGGUAGAGGACUUGGAAUGAGACAGUGUGAGAGAGGAGUCCUAAGAGGGGAGUUCCUCUUCUCGAACCCGGAUCCAGGC